AGACACACUUACCGAUGUCACCAGUCACGACAGCGAGUUACAUUACUUCUGUUAGAAAUGUCGCCCAUGUAUCCUUUAUUGAAAAUGAUCCCUAUGUAGGCUCAGGAGCUGCUGAUUGGUGGCUGCACAUAUACAGUAUGCCUCAUUAUUGGUUCCCUAAUGCGUUCAGCUAGCUUCCAGUAGUGUAUUGCUGAUUCUUCAUUAAAGGAUACCAGGAAGAAUGAAGAAAACCACCAUGCUUCAGCAGUGCAUUUAUUCAGAUAACUCUACAAGCUGCAACAUAAUUAUCAUGGACCAACCUGGCACCCAUUUAGUAAUAUCUACAGGAUGCUGAAUAAUCACAGUGUUCUAGAAUGAGCUCUCCAUGAACCCUUAUAAUAUAAUGGUGACCUGUAUGAUUGCACUAGCCAUGCAAACAAUUACGUGUGGCAUUAUUACACAUUCCACAAUAAUCGUCUCCAUUAUUAAAUACAUUGCUCCAGAUGAGAUCAGAUGGAUGGUUUAUAAACCCUUUGUUCUACAUAUGUAUGACGAAUGAGACAAAUUUAUUCAAAUACAGAGAUGACAUGUACAAAGGGUUUAUAAACCAUCCAUCUGAUCUCAUCUGGAGCUUGACAAAGGCCCGGAACGGGCUGAAAUGCGUUGCUCCUGUUGUUGCAUUAUUUUGUCCCUUGUAGGCAUCCGUAUCAGAAAGGAUCUGUUUAACAGCCGCUGCAAACUUCGUACUCAUACUGUGGACAUUGAUUCAGCUGGUUACUGCUCGGACAAGGAUACGCCUAAGGGGAAGAUAUCGCUCCCAAAGAGAACCUCUGGUGUAAGUAAAAGUGAAAACCUUUUGCUUGGUUCUUUUUCUUCGUUUGAUUUGAAUAUAUCUGUGUUCCAGCUUCGAUCCUGAGUUGAAGUGAAAUAUCGUAAUGAAAGUCUUCUGAUCCUUGGUUUUGAUUCCAGCUUCACAGCGAUCUUGGAUACUACACUUUGUGUCACCAUAUCGGCUCCUCUGGGAUAAUCUACAUAACUGCCAUUUAUCUCCAUUGUUUUUAAUACAUGUUGGUUUUGUUUUUUGUGCUUUGUUUUUAUAUAUACGUCUGAUCACCGUAUUCUAUGUAUUUUAAUAAAUUGUAAUAUUUUGAUACAUUUUA